GUGCUAUGCAAGCACUCUCCCACUGACCUAUGCUCUCAGCCCAGGUUGUUAAAAUCAUUAAUUAGUUAAUGAAUUAGUUACUUAACUAAUUCAAAUUUAAGAUAAAGUCUUGCUUGUAGUCUAGCUUACCCUUGAAGUCCCAAUCCUUCUGCCCUGCUUCCCAGGGGCUAGGAUUUCAGGUAUGGUCCACCGUGCCUAGCUCAUUAUGGAUUGACUUUUAAAACGUUUAACCUCCCCUGGGGUCUGGCAAUAAACUACAUUUGCCUGUAGUAUGUUCUCUUCCUAUAAGCCCUAUGAUCUUGCCAUCUCUACCUCCCAGCGCUGAAUUGACAGAUGCUGUCAUACUGCCUACAAAAAGAAAAAAGAAAAAAAAAAACGGUGGCUGGGAUCCUAACUAAGCCCUCAUAUGUACACAGAAAACAUUUCACACUGACAUAUCUCCCAAACUCGAAUUCCUUUCAGGUGGUAUUUAAUUAAAUGUAAUAUUUUGUUAUAGUCUUUGUACCCAAGCAAUACUGAUUUGUAUUUUUGAUUUUCGUUUACUUGUUUGCUUUCUCUUUGGUUUUGAUUAUCAGGGUAAUCUGGACCGAUAGUUGGGAAGUGGCUUUUGCUUUUCAGUUGUUUUAGGAAAGCUGAGGAUUUUGUUGUUUCUUUGCUUGCUUGUUUCUGUUUUAAAGACACAGUUUUACCCUGUAGGCUAUGUGGCAUGCACCGUGUUGAGUGAGCCCCAAACUUGCCGUGCUCCUCCCGACUUAGCCUCCUCUUUCUCCUACAAACAAGAGCGGGAGGCCUGCCUGAGCUGGUGUUGACUGGAGACGAAGCCUGAUGAUGUGUCACACAUCAUGGAGGCCUUUAUUGUCCUGGAUUUGGUUUCUACAGUAGAUCAAUGUGCUUCUCCUUAUCUUUGUCUUAUAACCCAACGAUGACAACUUCUGUUUCCCAAGAAAUUACUUCCUUUUGUCUUCAUUUAGCAAACUUCAAGAUGUUCAACUUGGCUGCUCCAGCUACCAUGCCUGCUGCCUGCCACCUCCACUCUGUCAUGGAACUGUAAGCCCAAAUAAACUCUUUUUUUAUCUAAGUUGCCUUGGCCACGUUUUAUCACAAUAUCAGAAAAGUGACUGAUACACAGGGUUUCUUACUGAACCUGGAGCUGGCCAGCAAGCCUGUGGGAGCCAUCUGUUUCUAUCCAUGAGUGCUGCACUGUGCCGUCAUGCUCAGCUUCUAAAGAUGUGCUUGGGAUCUGAACUCAAGUCUUCAUGCAAGCACUUUGCCCAUUGAACUAUCUCCCCCAUCUCUCCCAUGGCUCUUGGUAAUGUUGUUCUAAAAUGUCACUCAAAUAAAUUUGUAUCCUUUUGUAA
rnacentral:lncRNA from 1 species